rnacentral:rRNA from 1 species
UACGUAGGGGGCAAGCGUUAUCCGGAUUUACUGGGUGUAAAGGGAGCGUAGGUGGCAAGGCAAGUCAGAUGUGAAAACCCGGGGCCCAACCCCCGGACUGCUUUGGAAACUGUAUGGCUGGAGUGCAGGAGAGGUAAGUGGAAUUCCUAGUGUAGCGGUGAAAUGCGUAGAUAUUAGGAGGAACACCAGUGGCGAAGGCGGCUUACUGGACUGUAACUGACGUUGAGGCUCGAAAGCGUGGGGAGCAAACAGG